rnacentral:rRNA from 1 species
UCAUCCGCAAUGGGGGAAAGCCUGACGGAGCAACGCCGCGUGAGUGAUGAAGGUUUUCGGAUCGUAAAGCUCUGUUGCCAAGGAAGAANNUCUUCUAGAGUAACUGCUAGGAGAGUGACGGUACUUGAGAAGAAAGCCCCGGCUAACUACGUUCCAGCAGCCGCGGUAAUACGUAGGGGGCAAGCGUUGUCCUGAAUUAUUGGGCGUAAAGCGCGCGCAGGCGGUUCUUUAAGUCUGGUGUUUAAACCCGAGGCUCAACUUCGGGUCGCACUGGAAACUGGGGGACUUGAGUGCAGAAGAGGAGAGUGGAAUUCCACGUGUAGCGGUGAAAUGCGUAGAUAUGUGGAGGAACACCAGUGGCGAAGGCGACUCUCUGGGCUGUAACUGACGCUGAGGCGCGAAAGCGUGGGGAGCAAACAGG